UACGAAGGGGGCUAGCGUUGCUCGGAAUCACUGGGCGUAAAGGGUGCGUAGGCGGGUCUUUAAGUCAGGGGUGAAAUCCUGGAGCUCAACUCCAGAACUGCCUUUGAUACUGAGGAUCUUGAGUUCGGGGAGAGGUGAGUGGAACUGCGAGUGUAGAGGUGAAAUUCGUAGAUAUUCGGCAAGAACACCAGUGGCGAAGGCGGCUCACUGGCCCGAUACUGACGCUGAGGCACGAA
rnacentral:rRNA from 1 species